UACGUAGGGGGCAAGCGUUGUCCGGAAUUAUUGGGCGUAAAGAGCUCGUAGGCGGUUCGGCAAGUCGGAUGUGAAAUCUCCACGCUUAACGUGGAGGGGCCAUUCGAAACUGCUGUGACUCGAGUCCGGUAGGGGAGUGUGGAAUUCCCGGUGUAGCGGUGAAAUGCGCAGAUAUCGGGAGGAACACCUGUGGCGAAAGCGGCUCACUGGACCACAACUGACGCUGAGGCGCGAAAGCUAGGGGAGCAAACAGG
rnacentral:rRNA from 1 species